UCAUUAUCUACUCUAAUUCAUCCAUACAUUUUGGUCGAAUCAAGGAAGAAGACACAGACCAUGUAGUACAGUCUUGUCGAUUUUCAUCAUCUCUUACCAAUACAAAAGUCGUACUUUGAAAUCGUAAUGUACAAUCUUGGAUAAAACCAAAGAAAACAUGACUAGCAUAGAAGAGAAAAAAAAAUGAUAUUAAUAACGAUUCAUGUAAAGUAUCACGCCAUGGACUAAACAAUCGUUGAAUAGUAAAGUAGUAACGUAAGUCAAACUGGAAAAGGGUUAGAGAACGGUCGA